GUAAAACAUUUUUAAGUCUCAGUAGUUAAAACGGUGUGGUAUUUAUGCAUGAAAAGACCCAAGUAUAUAUGGCGUAUGAUGAAGUGGCAAGUAUAAUCAGAAGGGUGGAAAUAAAUGUGUCCAUAAAUUGUGUUGGAACCAGACAGCCUUCUAGGAAAACAACAGCAGAAACCCACACUGUGCAGUAGGAUAAGCUGCAAAAAUGUAAAUGCAAAAUAAGCCAUGAAAUUUUAGGAGAAAAUCCAGAAACCACACAAAACUGAUAAACACUAUAAUUUUAAAAAUGCUCUUAUCUAGCAAAACCAAAAACAAAGCAAAAAAUCCUGCAAGUAAAAUCAAAAGAUAACUGAAAGAAAACUAUGGGAAAUAUUUGCAAUUCAUAUGACAAAGAGCUAAUCUCCCUAAUGUAAAUUGAUAAAACCAACAACAUAAUAGAGGAAAUGGGAAAAGGCUAUGAACAGAAAAUUAACUGGAAAGGAAAGACAAAUUCCACUUAAACAUAUGAAAAGAUGCUCCACCUCAGUCAUAGAGAAAGCAAAUUAAUAUUUCACUGAGACAACAUUUUUCAUUCUGUGAGUCUGUCAAAAAUCCAAAAGGUUGAAAAUACAUUCUGGCCUUGGCAAGGCCUUGGAUAAUAGGUGUUCUCAUAAUGACUGAUGAUAGUGGAUAGUGUAGUGCAUGCCCCAUGGAGGGAUAUUUCUGAAUAUUUACCCAAAUUACAAGUGGAUAAUUUUUAAUUUAUACAAAACUCCUACUUCUGGGAAUUUAUCUUGCAGAUAUAAUUGUACAUGUGCAGAAUACUGUAUGUACAAACUUGUUCCUUGCUGCAUUGGUUGUAAUAGCAAGAUUGGAAUUAAACCAAAUAUCCACUAAUAAAGAACUGUGUUUAGCAAACUGUGGUACAUCCAUAUACUAGAAUACUCCGAACAUGUAAAAAGCAAAUAAAAAGAAAGUUUUCUUUGUGCUGAUAUGGAAAGAUGUCCUUUCUGUGAAAUGAUAUGUUGAAAUCCUCAAGACAUAUUGUUUAAAUAAUAAGGCAAGAUGGGUAAUACUGUAUAGAGUAUGGAAUAUUUGAAUAAAAAGGGGAAAAUAAGAAUAUAUACUUCUAUUUCUGUUACACAAAAAACAAAGACACAAGGACCUAAGAAAAGAAGUUACCCUUGUGGAAAUGAAGGAUAGGAAUGAAGUAGAAACAUUUGAUGAAUACCCCUUUAUAUUGUUUGAUUUAUAUGCAAUGUGAAUGGAUUGCCUAUUCAAAACAUAUAUAUUAUGUGUCAGUCAUAUUGAAAUAUGUCUGAUUUUGAUAGUAUCACUGAAACAGUCCUCUUAAUGAAAACCAAAACAAAACUUAAAACUGCUUCUUACAAAUUACUCUGUCUCCUCUUUUGUUUUCUGUUCCAGUUAGGGCUUUUAAGCCUGACAUGUUUCUUCCUUUGACUUGGAGAAGAAGAUAAAUAACUGUGCUGAUGAGUGGCCUGAGGAUUUGAGGUGUUCUGUCAACAAUAUGGAGACCGCCGUUUCCCAAUAACUCUGGAUAUCUGUCUCUGAGGCAUCAGCUUUUCUUAAUGCACUGUUUUCCUCUAUAGGUCACUGCUCUCAACCUGCUAACGACACCCAAGUAGAUCUACAGCAGUCAUGUUUCAGCCCAAGAGUGACUGAAGUACAGGCAGUGUCUCUCAUUGAGAUGAAUAGCACCAGGAUCCCAGAUCUCCUGCUGGGACUGUUUGGGAUGACCCCUCAGAAGACAAAAAAGGAGUAAACAAAAAAGAAGAGAAAGAUGCUGAUGUCAAAGACAAGUUCAGCAGAUGUGCUGUCACUGACAUGAUGCCAUCCUCUGACCUCAAAACAAAGAAAAAAAUCCCUCUGAAUUCUCACCAGACGUGCCUGUGAACCCGUACAGCUGAUGGGUGAGUACUAUCUUCCUGGACAGUCAAGCAGCAUCCUACGACAUGCUUUAAAAACGCAAGGCAGUGAGAACCGCUGUCAAAAGGUGAAAGAAAGAGAAGAAGCAGUGAUUAGACACAACAAGAGAGCAUCCCUUGUCUGAAAAAUGUGAACUGUGGCAUCCUCCCUUUCGCCAGGGCUUUCUGUCUCUCUGGAUUGGUGCAGUGGACAAGGACUGUGCAGAGACCUCUCCUGAACCCCAACCUGGCCCCAAACUAUAUCCUUUCUACUCUCCUCGUUCAGUUUAUUUAUAAUUCUUCUGAAAUUAACUUUAUUACUCAAGGGAUAGUUAGCCUGUAUGGGAUUCUAAAACAGUACGGCUUAGCCACUGCCUCACAACCUCUUUCACAUCAGCACACUCAGAACAAAUGACAGUAUUUGGAAAACACAGCAAGGGAAAUGGAUGAGGCUGGCCAAGGGUCCCUGGGCCACGCCCUGGGAAGCAGUAUCUGAGCACACAUCACUUGGAAGCACUGACUUAGAUCAGGGAGCUCAAGCCACAGGUACUUGAUUCUUGUAGGACAGGAAAACAUGCAAGACUCACUUUUAUGAUAUUAUCAGGGCGCCAGCAUGUAGAUUCUGGGGUCCAGUACUUCCAUCCUAGAGCUACUGAAUCCAAAUUCAAGUAGGCGGGGAGAUCUGGGGAUCUGAAUUUAUGCAAGCUCCUCGUGUCGUCUUCAUGCGGGUUAAGGCUGCAAACCUCUGUGUUUGGUGUCUCCAUUCUCAUCACCCUUACUUCCUCCCCAGCAUCCCUUACUUCUCUCCCGUAUCCACUUCCUGGCUGGGGUGUUUCCUCUGGGAAGCUAGCACUUCCACAUUAAGAUAGUAGAAGAGAGAAGAAAGAAAAAAGACUCAGCAGAACUAAACGCAGAACUUGGGUGCUCAGAGGCUGUCGGUACGUUUGAGCUGGACCAGAGAAGGACCCCUCACUUUCCACACAAGACCCGAGGGCCCUGAAGAUCAGAACUCCCACCCCUCCCCCAGCUCUUAUUAACCAACAGCUUCACCAGAGGGGUAAAGAAAGAAAUGACGCAUCCCUGGCAUGGCGAAGUGGGAAGGAGAGAGAGGGGUAAAAAUACUUCUUCCCACUCAGCUGGUGUAUGGGAAGAAGAGGCCCGGAGAGCAGCUGCUUGCUGGAAGCUAAAGGAAGAGGCAGAACGCGGUCUGGUUCCUUCCUUUGGACAGUGCGUUGGCUUUUUCACCUAAUAGUCAGACUUGUUUACAGGCACGUGGGCUCUCAGAUGUCCCUGACCUUUCAGACGUUACAGACACAGCCCAGGGCGCCACGGUUAAUCUAAGGAAGCAAUUCUAAGCACUUUCCUAACUCUCUGGCUAUUCAUAGCCUUUAUAAAAGGCAGGGGUUGGACACCCUAAUAAGUAAGGUCUAGCACCUAAGUGCACAGAUAACGAUUAAAAACAGGGAUCUGCCGCCCCAGUUUAGCUGGGCGAGGGGGCAGGGGAGAGGUGCCAGUCACGCUGACAGCACGAGGAGGAGGAGAAAGCAGAAAAGGGGGCUCGAUCGUGUGCUCUGGGCAGAGACCACAUUCGUGUGAAGGGAGGGAUCAGGUGGGCGUAGAGUUACUGCAGAGCUGCACCUCGGCCACCCCGCCAAGGCGACGAUACCGCAGCCCCUCCUGUAAGCUUGGUGCUGCAGCUGGGGAGCUGGGGCCAGAGCACCCCUGCAUGCAGCGAUGCAGCGCCGUGCCGACGGCUGCAGCCCGGGCUGCCUGCGGCACCGGCACCGGCCUGCUCACAUCUGCUGUUCACCGUCAACACCCGUGCAGCUGCGCACGGUGCCGAGUGCUCUCUGGAGCCCCGUGAGUGUAUGUUCACAAAGGCUAAGCUAGAAGACGACUUUGAAUGCACAGGCGAUGCUUCCUGAGGCAGGCUAUUGGAAUCUCUCUCCUCGGGAUGGCUAUGACCACAUGCUGCCUGCACUGUCUCACUCUUCUGUUACCACAUCUCUGGUUUUGCCCUCAGCACCUCGGCUGCCGUUUCUGUCAAGUUUAACCCAACCCCACCCAGGACUGCACGUGAUAACUGCCUUCCACCAAUGUUCCCAUCAAGGAAGACACCACGAUAGUGAUUCCUUCCUAUAGAGAAUUAUCUUUGCACUUCAGGGUUACCCGAUCUGCUGUGUUUUGGGGACUUCCAGUAUGCCAAGGUCAGGAACCCCUCUGAUGUUGUGAUUUAUACAGUAUAUACCAGCCAAUGUGCUUUAGUGCUAUGAUUGCCAUAAAAUAGUCCCUCUGUGGGUGAUGCUACCUCUCAUGUGCGCGGUUUCGCCCAAAUGGAAAACCUACCUAGGAAAGACAGUUUGACUUUCCAGGUAUUUAAGCAAUAGUUAAAUUGGUAUUGUAUUUCAUUCUUAAAAUUGAAAAUGAAGUUUUCAUUUUCAGUGCACUCCGAAGUUAGUUAUUCACUAAUGAUAUGCUGCAGUUUUUAAGCAGAGAUGAUAUAUUAAAUCACUUUAUGAAUGAUUUUUUUAAACACAGACGUUGACUAAUAUGCUGUACAGUAAGUCCCCUACAUACGAACCUUCAAGUUGUGAACUUUCAAAGAUGCGACCGUGCAUUCCCUCACCAUCAGGCGUGAGUGAAAUUAAACCUCGCCCUCCGUCUGCUAUUGCUGAUGACCCUUCAGCUCUACCGUCUCCCGCCUCCUCUCCCUCCCCCAGUCAGUAACUCUUCUUGCCUGUUCACUCGAUGCCAGCCCCUGUGUGCCAGCUGUUGUACUGUACUACUGUACUUUUCAAGGUACUACACUGUAAGAUUAAAAAUGUUUAUUUUUUGUUUGUUUUUAUGUAUUAUUUAUGUGAAAAGUAUUAUAAACCUAUUACAGUACAGUACUAUAUAGCCAAUUGUGUUAGUUGGCUACCUAGGCUAACUUUGUUGGACUUAACGAACGAAUUGGACAAACCCACUCUCGGAACCGAACUCACACGUAUGUAGGGGACUUACUGUAAAUAGUCUGGCUGUAGAAUUCUUGACUGCGCCUGGCUUAGGAAUCUUUAAUAUGCAAUUUUUCAGACAUUGGAAGUUUUUAAAUGUUUUGUACCUGCUGCGCCCCAGAGUUAGGGACUCUGCAUUGCUCUCCUACUCUAGGUUUACACUAGAGCUUUGGCAUGUGUCAAAUGAAACCAAAGUUCGGCAUUGCUUUUCUUCAAAACAUUCUAUUGUGCAGAAUAAACUCUUACGGGAACAAGAAUGUUAAUUAUGUAAUAAUUUCACUAGACAAGCAAAGAGCAAUUCUAAUCUAAGUAAUGUCUCCUUAUACCUCCCUUUUAUGACAUAAACACAGUGGCGAUUUUGAAUGCACUUACCAAGGAUGUUCUCUAUGGUUUAGGUGAAAGCCAUUCAGCUGCUCCAGGCAAGGACAGCAGUAAGUAACAGCUGUGUCUGUGCUGGCGUCGCGGGUAUAAUGCCUGGGUCACAGGGGUGAGAACUGAUUCUGCUGGGCUUGUGCUUCAUGGGAUGCUUCUGUCUCUUGGUGCCCACCCCUUCCCCGGGCCACCUUUGUUAAGUAUGAUUUGGCUCAAACCUGAUUCAAAGUGGUCCUCCUGGUGUGUACGCACUUGUUCAAUAAUAUGAGACAACAUUUUCUUCUCCUCUCCUUGCCAGGUGCAUGACACUGCUUUGGACUUUCUAGGAUGUAGGAGAAAAGAAAUCUUUUAAAAUA